rnacentral:rRNA from 1 species
CAGUCGCCGCGGUAAUACAGAGGGUGCAAGCGUUAAUCGGAAUUACUGGGCGUAAAGCGCGCGUAGGUGGUUCGCCAAGUUGGAUGUGAAAUCCCCGGGCUCAACCUGGGAACUGCAUCCAAAACUGGCGAGCUAGUGUAUGGUAGAGGGUGGUGGAAUUUCCUGUGUAGCGGUGAAAUGCGUAGAUAUAGGAAGGAACAUCAGUGGCGAAGGCGACCACCUGGACUGAUACUGACACUGAGGUGCGAAAGCGUGGGGAGCAAACAGGAUUAGAUACCCCAGUAGUCCCUGUCUCUUAUAC